CAGGGAUGAUGUCACUCGUCACUUGAGAGCUCUGGUGUUAGACCAGGUUUACUAGGAGACAAGUGGGGACUGUUGAGAGCUGUGAUUUUGGCUGAUGAAGCUGCUUUGGAAAUUGGCAUCACUGUCAGCAUGAAGAGGUGUCAAGGACUGGACUUGCAGGACAAGAAGAGAUUAUAUAUUCUCAGAGAAGCUGAAGAUAUUCUCAGAGAAGCAUGCGCUGAAGAUAUUCUCAGAGAAGCGCACGCUGAAGAACAAGUACAGAGGCAAAGAACGGUAAUAUAGAAUAUCGUAUAGCGGGUGUUCACAGAAGCAGCUGGGGUUACGGCGGAGGUGGGGAGUACAGCUUCAU